CCUGGAUGAUGGGCACCGGGUCAGCCACGCCCUCCAAGUGCUGCAGAGAGCUGAACACCUUGAGAGCUUCCUCCUGGAGCGUCGUAUAGCUUCUGUGUCGUGAGGCUGACCAGGGCAGAGGGGCAGAGGUGACGUGGAUGUCUCCGUAGGGCAGCGGCAGCAGAGCCACUGGUGGAACUACAACUGCUCAGAUGCAUCUUCAGCACAAGUCUCCAUCAGUUUUAUGUGAAGAAGCUUCCUACCUUAAUGUCCUGGAUGAGCUGCUGGGUCGGCGUGUCGAUUGGAGCUUUGGUGUCGAUGACGUUCUGGAUGGAGUUGGCCCAACGUGUGGCCUCAUUCAGCAACUUACAGUAAAGACGUCUCCUUGAAGACCUUCUCGUCCGGCUGAACCACUGAGCAGAGGCUAUUCAGCACCAGUGUUCCCAGCUUCAGGGCAUUUCGUUCUGAGCUCUUAUAGUAGUCCA